GAUGAACGCUGGCGGCGUGCCUAAUACAUGCAAGUCGAGCGAACAGAUGAGGAGCUUGCUCCUCUGACGUUAGCGGCGGACGGGUGAGUAACACGUGGAUAACCUACCUAUAAGACUGGGAUAACUACGGGAAACCGGAGCUAAUACCGGAUAAUAUAUUGAACCGCAUGGUUCAAUAGUGAAAGACGGUUUUGCUGUCACUUAUAGAUGGAUCCGCGCCGCAUUAGCUAGUUGGUAAGGUAACGGCUUACCAAGGCAACGUUGCGUAGCCGACCUGAGAGGGUGAUCGGCCACACUGGAACUGAGACACGGUCCAGACUCCUACGGGAGGCAGCAGUAGGGAAUCUUCCGCAAUGGGCGAAAGCCUGACGGAGCAACGCCGCGUGAGUGAUGAAGGUCUUCGGAUCGUAAAACUCUGUUAUUAGGGAAGAACAAAUGUGUAAGUAACUAUGCACGUCUUGACGGUACCUAAUCAGAAAGCCACGGCUAACUACGUG
rnacentral:rRNA from 1 species